rnacentral:tRNA from 1 species
UCCCUGGAGGACUAGUGGUUAGGCCUCGGUGCUCUCACCGCCACGGCACAGGUUCAAUUCCUAGCCAGGGAA